GAUGAACGCUAGCUACAGGCUUAACACAUGCAAGUCGAGGGGAAACGAUAGAGAAAGCUUGCUUUUUCUAGGCGUCGACCGGCGCACGGGUGAGUAACGCGUAUCCAACCUGCCCACCACUUGGGAAUAACCUUGCGAAAGUAAGACUAAUACCCAAUGAUAUCUCUAGAAGACAUCUGAAGGAGAUUAAAGAUUUAUCGGUGAUGGAUGGGGAUGCGUCUGAUUAGCUUGUUGGCGGGGUAACGGCCCACCAAGGCGGCGAUCAGUAGGGGUUCUGAGAGGAAGGUCCCCAACAUUGGAACUGAGACACGGUCCAAACUCCUACGGGAGGCAGCAGUGAGGAAUAUUGGUCAAUGGGCGAGAGCCUGAACCAGCCAAGUAGCGUGCAGGAUGACGGCCCUAUGGGUUGUAAACUGCUUUUAUAAGGGAAUAAAGUGAGCCUCGUGAGGCUUUUUGCAUGUACCUUAUGAAUAAGGACCGGCUAAUUCCGUGCCAGCAGCCGCUGUAA
rnacentral:rRNA from 1 species